UACACUCCUAGGGCCAGGAGUGGAAACACACAGUAUUAGGAUUUUUAAAAUCACACUGGUAAACCCUGGCAGCAGAAAACAGUAAGGUGAAGACAAAUCAUACUACUACCGUGACACAGGAAGCAAUUUGUGCAAAGACCAGGCAGGAGCUAACGGCCGGGAUGUGUUUCCAGCAGGAAACAUGAUUUGGGUCGGUAUCCAAUCUGUUCUGUUCUGUUCUGUUCUGCUGCCCAACAGCGCAGCCUCUGGCCUUCUGGUGGAGACACAGUCUGCAUGCAGCCUGUACCUUAAGGUUCUACUUGUCUUUGGUCUGGGUACAUUUAUUUCCCUUUCAAUGUGUUAUUGAUUAUAUAUCUUUGGACAUAGCACCAUAGCAAAUGUCAACGUGGUUCUGUGUAGCCACAGAGUCUGAAGUAGGUGGGACUAAACUCAUCAGUAGACAAAGCUAUGAUUUUUGAAAGCAGAAAAAGAUGGUGGCUUUGGACAUUUUAAUUGCUUCCUCACUGUUUGUGCUUCCAUCUCUAUACAGCAUGCUUCUUGUAAAAAUCGAAAGCCAGCACAGAAAAUAAGAGAAAAACCAAUCAUGUGUAUUGUAGAGUGGGCAGGAGUUUGGGUCUGGAACCUAAGAAGUAGGCAAAGGUGAGUUUCCUUAGCUGGUUGGAUGAUUUCCAACUUGGGACACCAUCUUUGACAGAGACAUUUUUCUCUGGAACCUCAUUUGAAAAUAAGGAUGGCAAGCAACACAGAAGUCAAAACAGCAGAAAUGAACAACUUCACAGGGUGUGUUUUUAAAAUUCAAUUGUAUUUAUUUAUUUAUUUAUUUAAUUUUAUUGAAAAAAUUUUUUAUUCAUUCUUCUCCCAUCUAUUACACCCUGACCAUGGUUUCCCCUCCCCCUCCUUUCAGUCCUCCCUGCCCUCCUGAUCCACUCCUUUUUCCUUUUCCUUUAGAAAAGAGCAGUAUGCCGGGCAUGGUGGCACAUGCCUUUAAUCCCAGCUCUCGGGAGGCAGAGGCAGGCGGAUUUCUGAGUUCGAGGCCAACCUGGUCUACGAAGUAAGUUCCAGGACAGCCAGGGCUAUACAGAGAAACCCCGUCUCAAAAACAAAACAAAACAAAACAAAACAAAAAACCCCAAACAACAACAACAACAACAACAAAACAAAAAAACAACCCCCCCCCUAAAAAAGAAAAGAGUAGCACUUUCAGGGACAUUAGCCGAAUACAGGAUAACACCUUACAAUAUGACUAGGCAUAAACCCUCAUAUAAAGGGUGAGACAACCCAUUAGGCAGAAAAGGGUCCCAAGGACAGGUAAUAGAGCCUGAGAUACCCCUACUUCUAGUGUUAGGGGUCCCACAAAGCCACCAGAGGAUCUAGCACAGACCUACCUAUGCUCCAUGACUGUCACCUCAGCCUCUAUACAGUGCAUUUUAAAGACACUGUUUUAUAUGACCUGCCACAAAACGGCUCCUCACUGACAGGAAAGCAAUCAGUCAAACCUGACUGUAGAAAGGAUGCCCAGUUGUGACAACACAGUAUGUGCACAGCUGUGACACCAUAGUAUGUGCACAGCUGUGACACCACAGUAUGUGCCCCAAGUGCCAGCGACUGGUCACAGUUUUCAAGGAGUUUCUAGUUACUCGGGUGCUAGCGGCACACAUGAAGAAGACAGAAUGUUCUGUCGACAUGGGGCAAGGGAUAUGGGGUACGCAUUCCAGCACAAGGAAUCAUCCUUGGUACCCCUGCAGAGACAAAGCAAAUUUUCUUAGCUUCCUCGUGAAUUUAUCUUGAGAAAAUUACAAAAGAACUCGAAAUUUCAACUCAAGUCAAAACCAAGGAAAUCAAACAGCCUAGCUGCCCCAUAACUGGGCUGUUCAAUUCGCCCAUAAGCACACCCCAGACUGUGGGUAUAUGAAUGAAUCUUUUGAUUUUUUCUGAACCAAAAACGUUUUGGAAUUGUACACUGGGUUAGAAAUGUAAGCCACAUCCAUCUGUUUUUGUUUGUUUGUUUGUUUGUCCAGUUGAAAUUUUGCUAAUGUUAUGCAGUAAGUGUUCUUUUUUUUUUUCCUCUGGUCUGUUGCUAAAUGUAUCUUCAAGGCUGUAGGUUGUGCAAAUCCUUAGGAAACGAGUGAGGAGUAGCCGAGCUGUUUGAUUUGCUGAGUGUUCUCCUCAGGAGCCAGUUCUUUAUGAGUAGUCAACAAAUACUAAAUAAUUAGGGAUGUAGUGAUGGAGGCGCAGCCAGGGGCUAAGUGGCAUUUUCAAGGUUUUAAAUGCAUUAGGAGGAAGACUGGAAUUGAAAUUUAGCGUGCUUAGCUUCUUCCUGAUGCUUGCCACCAUGUCUCUCUAUUUCCUUAAUCACAUAAAGCCAGUGGUUCUUGACUGACCCCUAACCUACUGCUCCGUCAGGCAAAAUUUGGAAACCCCCAGGCAGUGACCUGCUUUUCAAUGGGAGAACUUAUUUACUUCCAGCUGGAACACAUCAAGAAAAGCCAUUUCUCUGAUAGCCUCAUUCUUGCCAAAAGACUGGAAAAUAACUUAUUAGAGAGCCGGCCAUCUCAGGAGCCACAACAACAGCUGCACUGAAUAGAGAACUCGCCGAACGACCGGACACUGUGAAACGAGAUUGACAGAAGCCCACGAAGUCCUCCUUCCAAGCCUCACUUUGAUCUUCCUAACAGAGGUUGUCAGGGGGGAACCCGGAUGCCUCCAUGAUCAGGACGACUUAGCUUGUCUGCUCAUGGCUGAAUUGUCUUUGUAGUCUUUGCGUUUGUGCUACUUGAGGUCACAGCUAAAUUAACAAUGAGGGCUCGUGGCUGAAUGUUACUUUUAGAAUCUCUUUAUAGUUUACAUUUCAAGAUUGUUAAUUAGGCCAUGCAGCCUAUUGGAGAGAUAAAGCCAGUUCAAAAUAUAUGUGUGUAUUUAUGAAGUGACGCUAUUCUAUAAAAGGUAAAGUGUGCUAGCGUCAAGGAAUGCAGGAUUUACAAUACUCAGUCCCAUCACACUACUGAAUAGUUUGUAAGGUAACAAAACGGGCAGCUUAGAGCUGCAGUAUUUGCCAGAUAUACAAAUUUCGUAGGGAUUGUUUGUGCAUAUCGACUGUUCUGACGUCCUUCAGCAGGCUGGCAAUAGCAUUAAUGGAACAUUUCCUUUGUACCAGAGAUUUUAAAAAUUUAAAAAUGAUUUUAAAUGAAGGAAGAGAGAAAUCUAAUUCUUUUUCUUUCUUUUCUUUUUAUAACAUCGUUCUUGGUUCCCGGGAGAUGAUAAAGUGGGAGUGUAUCGGCAAUAAAGACUGCUGAGACAUGCCAAACUGCCUGGAAAAAGCAUGAGUUCAGAAGCCUGGAAGAAGCAAAGACCAGCCAAGCAGCUUAGAAGAAACAAGAACCAGCCUAGCUGCCAGGAA
rnacentral:lncRNA from 1 species